AAAAAGGUAAACCCUGGGUUUCCGUGUCCAACUUUAACGGUCUGUCUUAUAUGAAAUUUUUUUAUAAUUCAUAUUUUUAUUGUUGUUAGAUGAUAAAACAUGAUUAAUAUUUUAUGCGUGACUUGUCUUUUUAAUUUUUUUUAUAAUUUUUUUAAAUAAGACGGACGGUCAAACGUUGGAUACGGAAUUUAGGGUU
rfam:Oryza sativa (indica cultivar-group) chromosome 7, whole genome shotgun sequence.